UACGGGGGGGGCAAGCGUUGUUCGGAAUUACUGGGCGUAAAGGGCUCGUAGGCGGCCAACUAAGUCGGAUGUGAAAUCCCCAGGCUUAACUUGGGAACUGCGUCUGAUACUGGAUGGCUUGAGUUUGGGAGAGGGAUGCGGAAUUCCAGGUGUAGCGGUGAAAUGCGUAGAUAUCUGGAGGAACACCGGUGGCGAAGGCGGCAUCCUGGACCAACACUGACGCUGAGGAGCGAAAGCCAGGGGAGCAAACGGG
rnacentral:rRNA from 1 species